GUCCCUUUGGGGACGUCCAGUAAAACUGAAAUGAUACAGACAAGAUUAUCAUGGCCGCUGCGCAAGGAUGACAUGCAUAAAUCGAGAAAUUGUCCAAAUUUUG
rfam:Triticum aestivum genome assembly, contig: Triticum_aestivum_CS42_TGACv1_scaffold_163654_2DL